rnacentral:rRNA from 1 species
UACGGAGGGUGCGAGCGUUGUCCGGAAUCACUGGGCGUAAAGGGCGCGUAGGCGGUCCGGUAAGCGCGUGGUGAAAGCCCGGGGCUCAACCCCGGGUCGGCCGUGCGGACUGCGGGACUCGAGCACUGUAGAGGCGGGCGGAAUUCCGGGUGUAGCGGUGGAAUGCGUAGAGAUCCGGAAGAACACCGGUGGCGAAGGCGGCCCGCUGGGCAGGAUGCUGACGCUGAGGCGCGACAGCGUGGGGAGCAACAGG